CAUUUUUAAAUACUUUUAGUUCACAUUUUUUAAUGUUUAAAAACUAUGUUAACAGAGCAGUUAUAGAACAGAACUUCUUAUGUAUUGGACUCAGAUGAAGUCUAAAGUACACUGGACUCUAGAGAGUGGAUUACAUACCAACGACCAAGAUUCAAGUGUUUGGGGAAAAAAAUACCUUAGACAGUCUAUGUUGGCGUCAACACUAAAAUAAAAGGCAAACAUGCAGGACUUUCAAAGCUUGAUUAGAUAAUGGUUCUUUGUUUUCUUUCCUUCAAAUUUGUGCUCAUAAUUAAUAUUCAGGUUCCCUCUCCCCGCUUUCAUAGAUCCCAAAGUUUGAGAAAUGCAGCAAUUCAAUUGUGAAAAAAACAUUCUUCUCCCCAGCUUCUGUUUUCAUAUGUACUGUGUAGUGGUAUCAGUGUUAAAAAUGGAAGAUCAUUAUGAAGAAACAAUUUGUCAUUUGGGUAUAUCUGUUUCUAUAGGACAAGGAUUUGUGUCUAAAUAUUCCUUACUUGUAUCUCAGAGGACUAUCUGUUAAAUAAUUGAUCUUAAUGCCAGCAUAAGAAAUCAAGGGAACUAUUUCUCAGACAUUUCUUUCUCUAAAUUAAGUAGGGUUUCAGGUUCCAAGUUUACAACAGGGAUGUUUCUUUUUCUCGGCG
rnacentral:lncRNA from 1 species